rnacentral:rRNA from 1 species
GACGAACGCUGGCGGCGUGCCUAAUACAUGCAAGUAGAACGCUGAAGAGAGGAGCUUGCUCUUCUUGGAUGAGUUGCGAACGGGUGAGUAACGCGUAGGUAACCUGCCUUGUAGCGGGGGAUAACUAUUGGAAACGAUAGCUAAUACCGCAUAACAAUGGAUGACACAUGUCAUUUAUUUGAAAGGGGCAAUUGCUCCACUACAAGAUGGACCUGCGUUGUAUUAGCUAGUAGGUGAGGUAACGGCUCACCUAGGCGACGAUACAUAGCCGACCUGAGAGGGUGAUCGGCCACACUGGGACUGAGACACGGCCCAGACUCCUACGGGAGGCAGCAGUAGGGAAUCUUCGGCAAUGGGGGCAACCCUGACCGAGCAACGCCGCGUGAGUGAAGAAGGUUUUCGGAUCGUAAAGCUCUGUUGUAAGUCAAGAACGAGUGUGAGAGUGGAAAGUUCACACUGUGACGGUAGCUUACCAGAAAGGGACGGCUAACUACGUGCCAGCAGCCGCGGUAAUACGUAGGUCCCGAGCGUUGUCCGGAUUUAUUGGGCGUAAAGCGAGCGCAGGCGGUUUGAUAAGUCUGAAGUUAAAGGCUGUGGCUCAACCAUAGUUCGCUUUGGAAACUGUCAAACUUGAGUGCAGAAGGGGAGAGUGGAAUUCCAUGUGUAGCGGUGAAAUGCGUAGAUAUAUGGAGGAACACCGGUGGCGAAAGCGGCUCUCUGGUCUGUAACUGACGCUGAGGCUCGAAAGCGUGGGGAGCGAACAGGAUUAGAUACCCUGGUAGUCCACGCCGUAAACGAUGAGUGCUAGGUGUUGGAUCCUUUCCGGGAUUCAGUGCCGCAGCUAACGCAUUAAGCACUCCGCCUGGGGAGUACGACCGCAAGGUUGAAACUCAAAGGAAUUGACGGGGGCCCGCACAAGCGGUGGAGCAUGUGGUUUAAUUCGAAGCAACGCGAAGAACCUUACCAGGUCUUGACAUCCCGAUGCUAUUUCUAGAGAUAGAAAGUUACUUCGGUACAUCGGUGACAGGUGGUGCAUGGUUGUCGUCAGCUCGUGUCGUGAGAUGUUGGGUUAAGUCCCGCAACGAGCGCAACCCCUAUUGUUAGUUGCCAUCAUUCAGUUGGGCACUCUAGCGAGACUGCCGGUAAUAAACCGGAGGAAGGUGGGGAUGACGUCAAAUCAUCAUGCCCCUUAUGACCUGGGCUACACACGUGCUACAAUGGUUGGUACAACGAGUUGCGAGUCGGUGACGGCAAGCUAAUCUCUUAAAGCCAAUCUCAGUUCGGAUUGUAGGCUGCAACUCGCCUACAUGAAGUUGGAAUCGCUAGUAAUCGCGGAUCAGCACGCCGCGGUGAAUACGUUCCCGGGCCU